GUAAAGUUGUUUCUCCAAGUGCCAAAAUUUGAGGCUGGUGUAGUUUAGAUUGUGCUAUCCCAGAUACUCUAUCAUUAUGAAGCCUUGCCACCACUCCUUCAAUCCUUGUAGUUCUUUGUGAUAACGUAGCGAGGGCAUUCAUAAUAGCAUCUAACUUAGACUCCGAACUUUCUGUCAUACUAAUGUCUUGACCUCCGGCCAUUCUAAAAGAAGGACAAAAAUGAUCCUAUAAGAGGCAAUAUUGGUUUAUAGGAGGGUAAUCCACAACCUAUAAAACACCUUAAGAAUUUUAAGAAAAGGGGUAAUCCACUCUCUCCAAGAAGAAUAAGACUCCAAUAUUGUAACAGAAGAAGUAUCAGUUCAGAGGAGGGUAAUCCGCAACCUCUAAAAAAUGCUAGUAUACCUUCAAGUAGAGGGGUAAUCCACACUCUACUAAGAAAGAACUAGCUCUGAUAUCUCAAGUUAGUGUAGUCUCGACAAACUGUCACGGAUACAAAAUACAGACUUGAAAUCUAACAAGAAGUUCAAGAAGAAGUGGCAGAACCAGAUUAAACAGAUGAGUACAAGAACAACACCAGAAAGGUGAGCUAGAACUCGAAGAGAU
rnacentral:lncRNA from 1 species